rnacentral:rRNA from 1 species
CCUACGGGUGGCAGCAGUGGGGAAUAUUGGACAAUGGGCGAAAGCCUGAUCCAGCCAUGCCGCGUGUGUGAAGAAGGCCUUCGGGUUGUAAAGCACUUUCAGUGGGGAAGAAAGCCUUGGGGCUAAUACCCUCGAGGAAGGACAUCACCCACAGAAGAAGCACCGGCUAACUCCGUGCCAGCAGCCGCGGUAAUACGGAGGGUGCGAGCGUUAAUCGGAAUUACUGGGCGUAAAGCGCGCGUAGGCGGUCUGAUAAGCCGGUUGUGAAAGCCCCGGGCUCAACCUGGGAACGACAUCCGGAACUGUCAGGCUAGAGUGCAGGAGAGGAGGGUAGAAUUCCCGGUGUAGCGGUGAAAUGCGUAGAGAUCGGGAGGAAUACCAGUGGCGAAGGCGGCCUUCUGGACUGACACUGACGCUGAGGUGCGAAAGCGUGGGUAGCAAACAGGAUUAGAUACCCGAGUAGUC